rnacentral:rRNA from 1 species
UCUGGUUGAUCCUGCCAGUAGUCAUAUGCUUGUCUCAGAGAUUAAGCCAUGCAUGUCUAAGUACAUACCUUCAAACGGUGAAACCGCGAAUGGCUCAUUAAAUCAGCUAUGGUUCCUUAGAUCGUACAUACUACAUGGAUAACUGUAGUAAUUCUAGAGCUAAUACAUGCCACUAAGCCCUGACCCGCAAGGGGAUGGGUGGAUUUAUUAGAACAGAACCAACCGGUUGUGGCUUCGGCUGCUUCCGUUCCAUUCUGUGAUGACUCUGGAUAACUUUACUGAUCGCAGUCGACCAUGUGUCGGCGACGGAUCUUUCAAAUGUCUGAUCUAUCAAUUUACGAUGGUAGGUGACCUGCCUACCAUGGUGAUAACGGGUAACGGGGAAUCAGGGUUCGAUUCCGGAGAGGGAGCCUGAGAAACGGCUACCACUUCCAAGGAGGGCAGCAGGCGCGCAAAUUACCCAAUCCCGGCAAGGGGAGGUAGUGACGAAAAAUACGAAUGCGGGACUCAUCAGAGGCUCCGUAAUUCGAAUGAGUACACUUUAAAUCCUUUAACGAGGAUCAACUGGAGGGCAAGUCUGGUGCCAGCAGCCGCGGUAACUCCAGCUCCAGAAGCGUAUAUUAAAGUUGUUGCAGUUAAAAAGCUCGUAGUUGGAUCUGGGUCGCAUGGCUACGUGCCGUCACUUGUAUUCUUGGUCUGGCUACGGUUGGACUGAGUUUGUGAGUCGGCUUCGUGGCUGUGUUGCCUUUCUGCCGUGUCUGUUUCGACAGGUGCUGAUGGUUCAUCCGUUGGCAUGCUUCCAGAUGCCUUUAACCGGGUGUCGGGGGCGGACGGCACGUUUACUUUGAACAAAUUUGAGUGCUCAAAGCAGGCCUGUGCCUGAAAAUUCUCGCAUGGAAUAAUGGAAUAGGACUUCGGUUCUAUUUUGUUGGUUUUCGGAUCCGAAGUAAUGAUUAAGAGGGACAGACGGGGGCAUUUGUAUGGCGGUGUUAGAGGUGAAAUUCUUGGAUCACCGCUAGACAAACAACGGCGAAAGCAUUUGCCAAGGAUGUUUUCAUUGAUCUGGAGCGAAAGUUGGGGGUUCGAAGACGAUCAGAUACCGUCCUAGUCCCAACCAUAAACGAUGCCAACUGACGAUCCGUGAGUGUUCUUCAAGUGACCUCGCGGGCAGUCCCCGGGAAACCUUUAAGUCUUUGGGCUCCGGGGGAAGUAUGGUUGCAAAGCUGAAACUUAAAGGAAUUGACGGAAGGGCACCACCAGGAGUGGAGCCUGCGGCUUAAUUCGACUCAACACGGGAAAACUCACCCGGUCCGGACACCGUGAGGAUUGACAGAUUGAGAGCUCUUUCUUGAUUCGGUGGUUGGUGGUGCAUGGCCGUUCUUAGUUGGUGGAGCGAUUUGUCUGGUUAAUUCCGAUAACGAACGAGACUUUGGCCUGCUAAAUAGUAUGCCUGUCCUCUGUGCUCGUGCAGGUGGCGGUUUUCGUUGCUUCUUCGGGAGUGAUGAUGCCGCUUGCCGGCGGGUACUGCGCAGGUGUUUACUUCUUAGAGGGACAAGCGGCGCGACAGUCGCACGAAAAUGAGCAAUAACAGGUCUGUGAUGCCCUUAGAUGUCCGGGGCCGCACGUGCGCUACAAUGACGGUUUCAGCGAGUAUGGCGUCCUGGCCCGAAAGGGUUGGGCAAACUGAAUCAUAACCGUCGUGACUGGGAUCGGGGCUUGCAAUUGUUCCCCGUGAACGAGGAAUUCCUGGUAAGUGCAAGUCAUAAGCUUGCGCUGAUUACGUCCCUGCCCUUUGUACACACCGCCCGUCGCUACUACCGAUUGAAUGGUUUAGCAAGGUCUUCGGAUCGGUGCCAUUGUAGUUGUUUCGGCAGCUCGACCGGCGCUGAGAAGAUGACCAAACUUGAUCAUUUAGAGGAAGUAAAAGUCGUAACAAGGUUUCCGUAGGUGAACCUGCGGAAGGAUCAUUA